GCUCUUUCCGCGCUCUUUUUACUGCUCUGUCCCCUUUAUGUCGCCUCUCCGUCCUUUGAGUGUCCCCGUUCCGUCCUCGUGUCCGUCCGCUGUGUCGUCACUCCGUCCCCGCAGCCUCCCUGCUGUGUCCCCUUCAUGUCCCCAGACUGUGCCCGCAGCGUCCCUGCUGUUGUCUCACUGUGCCCCUGCUCUGUCCCCGCAGUGUUCUUGCUUGACAGAACGAGAGGACACAGUCUUAAGCUGCGCCAGAGGAAGUUUAGAUAUCAAUCUUUGAACCAUGAGAAGACAAAGCCCACAGCUCCUCCGCAACAUUUCAGGAUCCAAAAGUCAAUGAAAGAUGGAAUAGAGACCACCAAGCCCACUGCUGUCCCUAUUGCUGUCCACAUCCAUGCAAUGCUGCUCCUGCACUGGCCCCAGUGCCCUGGCAGGCAGCCCUGGAGGGGUGAAUCAGGCAGAGAUUCUCCUUGGAAGGAUGAUGAAGCCAAGCUCUUGAAGAUUCUUAUUAAGGCUUGUUAGGGGAGGCAAGAGGCUUUUUGAAAUGGCAGCUUCUAAGAAAAUAAAACAUCUGGCAGACAGAUGUGCUGCUUCAGAGCUGUUUAGUGCCCAGACCCACGACUUCCAAAUGAAAGACAGAAAGGGUGGCCCAGAGAGAAGAACCAAGACAGCCUUAGCUGGCAUAUGGUAUUAGCUGACACUAGCACAUGAAGAGAAAUGUGUUAUGAAGGGACCUAUUGUGGACACCAGCACAGAAGAAGGGGAAAUAAAGCAUAAGAGGUGCAGCUGCAGAUGAUGCCUCUGAUAGAUGUUUUCCUUAUUCUAAAGUCCGUGGAGCAACAGUAACACCUAGUGGCUGAAUGUGCCAGUCUGGUCCUCCUUCCUUUCCUUCCUUUCAAGAAGUAGAGUUGGAGGGCACACGGUGUGAUUGACAGCUUUGACUUGCAAGGCCAACACUUAGGAUCUCCAGGGAUUUGGUAUUUUCCUUUCAAGCUCCCACCACAUUCUGUUUUCUAUUAAAAGUGGUAGAUGAAAUAUGAAACUCUUCCUCCCACCUCCCAACCCCCUUCACUUUUCUGGCUUAUGGAGGAGGUUGUUCCAGUCCAUCUUGAUCUGUAGGUGGGUGGGCUGUGAGUGACCAAGCCUACUGCUUCCAGCUUGGAGCACUCAGAUUUCUGUAAGGAAUCCAAGCUUUUUCAUUUUCUUUUUUUUUUCUUUUGGUCUGAAAAGGAUCAAGCAGAUCAUCUGGUGGAGGUUGGUGACCUCAGUCCAUUUGAUAAUGUGGUGUUAACUUGCCUGCAUUAAGGCAGACCAAACCAAUCAGUUCCAAGAAGUACCAUUUCCUAAAAUGUGGUGUGUGGGAUUGUUUGCCACAAUCUACUGGGACUGCUAAUUCAGCAGAGAGGGACCCCUAGAAAAACAGCAUUAGGGAGGAAAGAACCCACAGAUGUUUAUUGUGUUAGCCAGAGAGCCCUUCAGAGGGUCUUCACUGCCCCUCACAGGGGAAGGUUUCAAUUUUUCCAUGGAAAAAGAAACAUUAAGCAAAAAUAUUUCUGCUGAAGCCCAGAUCAUAUGCAUUUGUAAAUAGAACCUCAACUCUUUGUGGGAAUUACAGUGCUGAGACACUCUGGGUUUGUCAUAUUCAUGCAGUUUAAUUUUAGGUUUCUGGUUUAGGUAUUCUGAAUUACCAUAGGAAGCAUUUCUUUAGGAGAGUCUUCACUGCCUGCUGCCAGAGCCUGAACUCUAAUUUACACUGUGGAUAUAUGCUCUGUUACACAUGACAUUAACUUGUAUCACCAGUCAAAAAAUAGUAUUUGCCUCCCUUCACAUCCCCAGUUCUUCAUCCAGCUUCCUCUCAAUUACCUGUUUAGAUGGAGCAGAUUAAGCUGAAAACUAGCCUGAUGCCUCUGGGAUAGAAAAUAAAAUAAAAUAAUCAGCUCCAUGAACCCAUUUACUGCAAAACUACACAAAAGCCUGGUGCAAAAAGAAGGGAGGUAAUGGGGACCAGUGGGGACAAGGCCAAGUGAGACAAAGAUAGGACCUUUUGGCUGCUGUGGAGAUGUACGUGGAAUUAAAGCAUGCAUAUAUACAUACCAUUAGUCAGACCUCCUAAAUCUGGUGUUCCCAAUACCUGUUUGUGAGGGAAGGCAAAGAGAAACAUACCCUGAUGAUGAGAAAUGGGGAAUUUUGUGCUGGCAUGUGCUGGGCAACCUUUACUCUUAGAAGGAGUGUGGCAGCCUUGUUGGGCUGGGCAAAAAAUCUUCCUUAAUGUUUGCUAAAAAUGCUGUCAGAGGUGGCAGACCUGAAAGCACUGAAAGAAGACAAUCACAGGCUAAUUGUUAUUUGUGAUUCAUAAGGGCUCUUGGAUCCUCUUCUAUUAGACAUGUAUGCUUUUUGUUUUGAAUACAGAAUUUCAAAGUCAGCUUUGUUUCUCAGUGGUAGCUGUGGUGUUUGCCACCCGUGUUGGUCUGGGAAGAGACAGCAUUUAUUAACGUUGUCUGUUCUGGUUAUUCACCCAAGCCAGACUCUCAAUGACUUCAUAGAAAGAAAGCAAAGCAGUGUGUAGUGUCUUUAGACAGACUGCCAUGUACCCUGUAGGAGAGGAGAGCCUACUGACAGGAAGAUUUUGUUUUCUCUCAGUUUCAUUCUCUGGUUUGACUUAUGUGUAACUUUGCAGUUUAUGGCCAAACACAGGAGUUCCUUAACCCCAUGAUCCUUGCAAGCAUUAUGUUUCUGCUAACAUCCUGGGUCAAAUCAGCUGUCUUUUCACACGUCUCACAUUCAUUUUCAUUUAAGGCUCAAUUACCUCUUGGCAAUAUGCCACUUGUGACAACAGAUUUAUACCAGUAAUUAGUAUGUUUGGAGAAGUCUGGAAUAAAAUCUGUGCUCCUUUGCUUAGGUACCUGGAUGCAGUGAUGAAUUUUUAACUCUACACCCUAAAUUUUAAAAUAUUUAUUCUUAAUAAUUUUGCCUCAAUUCCCUUUAAAACCUAGUAAAAGUAGUGCAUUAGUUUCCAAUGCUUGGCUCACUUGCAAAUUCCUCGUUUGAAAUUCUCUCUGUAAUAUCUCUGGGCCACAAAAACCUGUGUGUGAGACUGGCCCUCUGAAAGGGAGCUGCCACUGCAGACCUGCUGGGACUGAACCUCUUUCCACUGCUGCAGGUGGGGCUUGAAGCACUGUGCUGUUCUUGGUAUUUUAAACACCACGAGGAAUGUCUUGGAAAUAUCAAAAGCAAAGAGACUGGGCACUCUGAAGGAGUUCAUAUUUAAUAGAGAUUGUUGAUCAUUUAGUAUUAAAUGGUUCAUUAUUUUAUUGUUCUUCAAUAAUUUGAGAGCUUAAAUCUUCUACUUUUGGCUUGGCUAGUGAUGCUGUCUUGAGCUGGGUUAUAAAAAUACUGUGCUUCACAUAAGCACAGAUUGUUAUAGUUUUCAUCUUAAUUAGCAAGCUGCAGAUUUAGAUGGAUUAAUACAAUCACUCUUUCUUUCUUUUGCCAUAGAAGUUCAGAAGUAUAAUCUGUCACUUGUGAGAACAUAAAGAAUUGGACUGGAAGCAUUCCAAACUCUUUACUGUAAGUGUUCAAAGAUUUAAUGGAGUCCUCAGUCAUAAAAUCUUAAAUUUGAACUAGACCUUUAUAUUCUCCAUUCUUAAAUUCACUAUUUUUAUGUCCAGGGGAUUUCCUGUUAUCCAAGUAUGUACGGAGGCCCUUUAUUUCCCUCUGUGUGUGUUUUUUAAUUCAAAUCAAAUGUGUAUGUCAGUGGUUGAUUGCACUUAACCUCCUUAGGUUCAUAUUUCUUAUUUAAUUACAUUACAUUUUAAGGUUUAAGGCUAUAUAUUUACUGCAGUUAAUAGCAAGCCAUAUUUUAAUGAAGCUGUUAUCUUCUGCAAAUAUAUACAGAACAAUGGAGAUGGAUUGUAUAGGACCUUUUGAAGAAAUUGUAUCUCAAAGCCAUUUAAAAUGAAUAAACACAGUGGAGAGCUUUUCUUAAUGCAGUUCUUCACCUAACACAGCUUCAAAAUUCAAGAAAUGAGUGGUUGGGUUAUCAGGGCUCUUGUUCUCCUGAUCCCCACCCAGGGACUGCACCUCUGUGGGUUGCAGACACAGCUGGAGUGUCCCAGUCCCAACAAACCAGAAAUGCUCCAGAACUGCAGCUCCAAAGUCCAGUCACCUCCCAGGUACACUGGCCAGGAUCCCCCUCUGCAGCUCAGCUCUGUACAUCUAUUGUCAGUCCUUUCAGGGAAGGUUCAGUACAUGAACAAUUAUUAUCUGAUUUUACUGAAACAUCUGAAAACAAGGGCAAGUAUUACCUAGAGAUCAUGUCCAGAAAAUCUGGGACAAAUCUCCUGUGCUCCACUAGAAUUCAGCCAGCUGAACACCUGUUUUCAAUGCAGAACAGGGCAUCACCCUAUAUUGGGGCACUGACUGGGUUUCUCACAACAAUCUGAGAGUUAAGCACUCUGAAUUGAGCCAAAAAAUGUUGGGAGACACUUCUUUCCAGGCACACAGCAAGGCUGAUACUCUUGUCCUACCAUUCCAUCACAUACCAAAAAUCUCCUUAGUCUGGUCAAAAGCUUUUAUUUCUUCUUUUGGGCAACAAUCAGUUUAAACAUUUCAUAGUAUCUUGCAGAUUUUAUAAUUUCCUUUCUGCCAAAAAACAAUUUAUAUCUCUCUUUAGAUUAUAUCUCAUCUUGCUUCUUUUAUUUUUAUUUCUCUUCUUUCAUUGUUGUUACUAUUUAUACCAUGUCAUUUUUAUUCCAUUCCUAUUAUCCUUACAAUAGCCAUGAUACAUAACAGAGCACUGAACCCUGUGCUACAAAGGGAGGCACUGAGAGAUUUCCUGAUGGCUCUGGUAGGUCAGGGAGUUCAACCAGAUUCUUUCUGGGUGUAGACUGACAGCCCAUGUGUCCUUCCUGCCUGAGACCCUGUGGCAUGAGGGGCUGUGAGCCAGUGUAAUCCCAGAGGAUUAUUUGGGGAUUGGUUUUGCAUUUGUAGAGAGAUUGAUCUCCCUUAGGCAGAAGAGAAAACAGAGAGAUGAAGAGCAUUUCUUGUGGUAAAAGAGAUUUGUAUUCUGUGUGUGGAGCUGGAUAUAAAUAAAGUACAAUUUAGUAGCUCCAGCUUGGGUCAUUUAAAAAUGGAAGAGAGGCCCUGGAAGAGGGAUGGAUUUUGGAAACCAAGCCCAUUAGGUGUGGAAUCCAUUGCUGACAAUAGAGUAUACUGUGAACACCUAAGCUAGCGUUAGUAUACAUGUGCUUAGCCAAGAAAUACUUGGAACCUGUUGCUUUGCAGUGACUUUAUCCUUUAAUGCCUGCAAUCUUUCGUAUUUAGCACCUUAGCUGCCUUUUUAUUGCUUCCAUGGAGGAAUCUGUCAGGUUCAGAGAGGAGAUUGGGUAGAGAGCCAGCUAAAGAGCAAGGCAGUGCCACUGAACAGUGCUGGUGUUUGCUUGGAUGAUUGCUCCCCUUGGAACGAGGAGACACAAAUGUUCAUAAAGGUAAAUUGAUAAAUCUGGCAAAUAUUCUCUUUAAAUAAUUCCCAGAGCUCCCAGACUAACACACAGCUGUAGGGGAAAAAUAAGGACCCCAACAACUGAACAGGAUGUUGGGCUGCAUUACAGUAAGAACAGAAUAUAUAUCAAGAAGGUGUUAUUGUUAUUACCUAAACCACUGGUGAGUUCUUGUUGAGAGUGCUCUUUUCAGUACUGCUCAUUCUACCUAAGGAGGAUGUGAUUAAGGGAUAAGGCAAGGAAAAUGACACUAAUACUGUGCCUUUCAGCUUUGAGUUAUAAAGCAAGACUGAAGAGCUUUGGUAUUAUCUUGUUUUAAAAGAGAUCUUGCAGUGAUUUUAAAUGAUUUUAAAAUAAUGAAGGAGAUUAAUCACAUUGAAACAGACAAAGUCUAUGAAAACAAGAGUUACAUUGGAAAAUAGGAUCUUGGGAAAGCAAUGAAGACAGAGAAGGGAGAGGUUCAUGUGAAUGCUCCAAUAAAUAUGUGAUGUCAGUUAUCAGAAGGGUCCUGUGAAUCUGGAUGUGCAGGGUAAGGUCAAGCUAAAACUGUAAGGAAAAUAGGAGAGUGACAGUGACAUUGUGACUGUUGGCAGUAACACACAGGCAAUGGAAGCCAUUCUGGAGCAGGAUCUGGGAAACACCUGCAGCAAGGAGCAAAAGGAAGGGCAAGGAUGCUGCAGGGUGGCACUGACUGACAAAGAAUUUGCAGUGUGAAGACAGAGACUGACAGGUAAGCAGCUUGUGGAACAAGGCAGGAGAGAGAAGAGGGAGAAAGCACAUGGCUGCUGUUAAUCCAUCUGAACUGCAGGCACCUAAGGUGAAAAUACUGAAGGCAAUUUCAGCUCUUAGCUGGGCAGGAUCUUACUGUGGACAUGGUGGUCCAUAUACAAUGGGACCAAGUGCAACAAGUUUCAGCUUGCAGCCCACAAAUUUUUGAAGGACCAAAGCCAAAUUCUAGGGUCCUGUGAAAGCCAGCUAAGAAAAGCAGACUGUUGUGGUUAGUCCUUGUUGUAAUGGCCCACAGAGAAAGU